CCUCCAUAUUCAUGUCCUGCCAUUCUUUAGGUUCUAUAGAGGUGCAGAAGGGCGUCUAUGUAGCUUUAGCUGCACUAAUGCAACUAUCAGGAAAUUCAAGGAUGCAUUGGCAAAGCAUGGGGCAGAUGGAUGUAGCCUAGGCCCGGCCAAGGGUUUAGAUGAAUCUGAGUUAAUGACAUUGGCAUCAAUUGGGGAAUUGCCAAAAGGCUUACAUUUAAAAUCCUCAAAAGAAGAAAGAGUUGAGGAUUUUGAGGAUUUUAUUGUGAGAAGCAUUGAUUUGCCUGGUGUUUGGAGCAAAACUGGCAAUAAGACUGACCUUAUUAAGGAGGAAACUGCUGUUGGAGUUAGUUAUAAUAAGACUAAGCUUUCUGGAGAUUAGUAAUGGUAUUGAAUUGGGUGUCUUGUGUUCUUGAAUUGUAUGUAUCUAUUAUUGGAUUUCCAUAAGCAGGCUAGGUUUCCAGGUGUUUUUUUGGUUCAACCUUGAGCCCAGUCACUUCAGUAAAAUUAUUUAGGCAUUGUAGAUUGUAUUCUUGUCAAGGAAUUAAUAUGUCAACUUGUUGAUUAUUGUUAUCUAAUGAAUUUUUCUCAGC
rnacentral:misc_RNA from 1 species